AGAGUUUGAUCCUGGCUCAGGAUGAACGCUAGCGGCAGGCUUAAUACAUGCAAGUCGAGGGGCAGCAGGUCUGUAGCAAUACAGAUGCUGGCGACCGGCAAACGGGUGCGGAACACGUACACAACCUUCCUUUAAGUGGGGAAUAGCCCAGAGAAAUUUGGAUUAAUACCCCGGUAAUAUAUAGAAGUGGCAUCACUUUUAUCUUAUAGCUCCGGCGCUUAAUGAUGGGUGUGCGGCUGAUUAGAUAGUUGGCGGGGUAACGGCCCACCAAGUCUGCGAUCAGUAACUGGUGUGAGAGCACGACCAGUCACACGGGCACUGAGACACGGGCCCGACUCCUACGGGAGGCAGCAGUAAGGAAUAUUGGUCAAUGGACGCAAGUCUGAACCAGCCAUGCCGCGUGGAGGAUGAAGGCCCUCUGGGUUGUAAACUUCUUUUAUCUGGGACGAAAAAGGGACUUUCUAGUUCAACUGACGGUACCAGAGGAAUAAGCACCGGCUAACUCCGUGCCAGCAGCCGCGGUAAUACGGAGGGUGCAAGCGUUAUCCGGAUUCACUGGGUUUAAAGGGUGCGUAGGUGGGCAGGUAAGUCAGUGGUGAAAUCUUUGGGCUUAACCCCGAAAACUGCCAUUGAUACUAUUUGUCUUGAAUAUUGUGGAGGUCAGCGGGAAUAU
rnacentral:rRNA from 1 species